GUAGUCUCGCACAGAUGCAUAUCAAUAAGCGGAGGAAAAGAAACUAACAAGGAUUCCCCUAGUAACGGCGAGUGAAGCGGGAAGAGCUCAAAUUUGAAAUCUUAAAGGGUUUCCCUUUACGAAUUGUAGUUUAAAGAAGUGUUUUCUGUUGAGGUUUUGGUAAAAGUUCUUUGGAAUAGGACAUCAUAGAGGGUGAGAAUCCCGUAUUUGACCUUUACUUUCAACUUUGUGAUACACUUUCAAAGAGUCGGAUUGUUUGGGAAUGCAGUCCAAAAUGGGUGGUAAAUUUCAUCUAAAGCUAAAUAUUGGCGAGAGACCGAUAGCGAACAAGUACCGUGAGGGAAAGAUGAAAAGAACUUUGAAAAGAGAGUUAAACAGUACGUGAAAUUGUCAAAAGGGAAGCGUUUGACACCAGUGUUGUUUUUCUGAAAAUCAAUUAAAGAACUGUUUAUGCUAAGUUGUUUAGACUUUAUCAGCUAUCUGUUUAGUUUUGAGCUUUUCUUUAAUGCACUUUUCAGUUAACAAGUCAACAUCAAUUUCUUUUGCUGUAAAAAAGCUUGAGGAAGGUGGCUUGAGAUUCGUCUUAAGUGUUUAUAGCCUCUUGCCUAUGCAGUCGGAGAGAUUGAGGUCUGCAGCGUAGAUCCUUCGGGGCUAAAUGCAUUUGUGCUAAGUUAUAGCAUUUUAUAGACAACUUGUUGACUAUGAUUUGUCUUGUAGCUUACUCGCUUAUGUUAUUUUACCUACGCUUAGGAUGUUGACGCAUGAGAUAUACGC
rnacentral:rRNA from 1 species